UUCAAAGCAUUGAUGGUGAAGCCGAAGUUCUUAUGAGUUUUUGGUUUUAAAUCGUUUAACAAGGAAGCACUACUUUACUUUUCGGGAUCUAGUUGAGGUA
rnacentral:sRNA from 1 species